GACGAACGCUGGCGGCGUGCUUAACACAUGCAAGUCGAACGGACAGGCCCUGCUUUUGUUGGUUUCUCGAUUGGCGAACGGGUGUGUAUCACGUGAGUAUCCUGCCCUUAUCUUUCUGAUAACUUUUGGAAACUGGGGCUCAUACCCGAUAUGAUCUCCUGCUGCAUGUGGUGGAUUGGAAAAUUUCGGCUGUUGUGGCUGGACUCGCUGCUUAUCCGCUUGUUUGUGUGGUAGUGGCUUACCAAGGGUGUGACGGGUAGCCGGCCUGAGAGGGUUACCGGGGACAUUGGGACUGAGAGAGGGAGCAGAAGGGUACGGGAGGCAGUAGGGGGGAAUAUUGCACAAUGGGCGGAAGCGUGAGGCAGAAACGCCGCGAGCGGAAUGACGGGUUUCGGGGGGUAAACAGAUGUGGAAUGUAACGAAGAGGGAGUGACGGUAAUGGGUAAAGAAGCAACGGCUAACUACGUG
rnacentral:rRNA from 1 species